rnacentral:rRNA from 1 species
AUUGAACGCUGGCGGCAGGCUUAACACAUGCAAGUCGAGCGGGGGAGGUUGCUUCGGUAACUGACCUAGCGGCGGACGGGUGAGUAAUGCUUAGGAAUCUGCCUAUUAGUGGGGGACAACAUUCCGAAAGGAAUGCUAAUACCGCAUACGCCCUACGGGGGAAAGCAGGGGAUCUUCGGACCUUGCGCUAAUAGAUGAGCCUAAGUCGGAUUAGCUAGUUGGUGGGGUAAAGGCCUACCAAGGCGACGAGCUGUAGCGGGUCUGAGGGGAUGAUCCGCCACACUGGGACUGAGACACGGCCCAGACUCCUACGGGAGGCAGCAGGGGGGAAUAUUGGACAAUGGGCGGAAGCCUGAUCCAGCCAUGCCGCGUGUGUGAAGAAGGCCUUUUGGUUGUAAAGCACUUUAAGCGAGGAGGAGGCUCCUUUAGUUAAUACCUAAAGAGAGUGGACGUUACUCGCAGAAUAAGCACCGGCUAACUCUGUGCCAGCCGCCGCGGUAA